rnacentral:rRNA from 1 species
UGGUUGAUCCUGCCGGAGGCUACCGCUAUUGGAGUUCGAUUAAGCCAUGCGAGUCGCGAGUCUUAGGGACUCGGCGUACCGCUCAGUAACACGUGGGUAACCUGCCCUAUGCUGGGGGAUAACCUCGGGAAACUGAGAAUAAUACCCCAUAGUUCACCACGCCUGGAACGGUGGGUGGAUGAAAGCUCCGGCGGCAUAGGAUGGGCCUGCGGCGUAUCAGGUUGUAGGGGGUGUAAUGUACCCUCUAGCCAUCUACGCGUACGGGUGUUGGGAGACAUCGCCCGGAGAUGGAUUCUGAGACACGAAUCCAGACCCUACGGGGUGCAGCAGGCGCGAAAACUUGGCAAUGCGAGCAAUCGUGACCAGGGAACUCCAAGUGCAUCGGGUAAGACCGAUGCUUUUCUUGACUCUUCAAAGGUCUUGGAAUAAGGGGUGGGUAAGGACGGUGCCAGCCGCCGCGGUAAUACCGGCGCCUCAAGUGGUAGUCGCUUUUAUUGGGCCUAAAACGUCCGUAGCCGGUUUGGUACAUUCGUGGGUAAAUCAAGGCGCUCAACGUCUUGAAUUCUGCGAGCACGGCCAGACUUGGGACCGGGUGAGGUGUGGGGUACUCUCAGGGUAGGGGUAAAAUCCUGUCAUCCUGAGAGGACCACCUGUUGCGAAGGCGCCACACUAGAACGGAUCCGACGGUCAGGGACGAAGCCUAGGGGCACGAACCGGAUUAGAUACCCGGGUAGUCCUAGGUGUAAACGCUGUGGACUUGAUGUUGGGAGUGCUCCGAGCACCCUCAGUGUCGAAGCGAAGGUGAUAAGUCCACUGCCUGGGGAGUACGGUCGCAAGGCUGAAACUUAAAGGAAUUGGCGGGGGAGCACUGCAACCUGAGGAUUGUGCGGUUUAAUUGGAUUCAACGCCGG